rnacentral:rRNA from 1 species
AUGGUGUCAAAUUUGGAAGUUAUCUUGUCCGGCAAAAGUAAAAAAAUUAUAUGGCAUACAUUACCUGGCACCCUCCCAUGCCGGGUAACACUCGCUAACACACACAUGAAGGUCUCGCCCUUUUGUCCUAAUUGCUCUCAAGGUUUAGAAGAUACAAAACACAUGCUUUUCCUCUGUAGUAAAGCAAAGGAGGUUUGGAAGAAACUAGGGAUGGAUGAGAUUAUUGAUAAAGCUUGUGAGGUUGACCGUGCUGGGGAGGCGAUAUUGGAAUACCUUCUACUUCUUCCUGACCAAGAUUUGAGUAUUAUGAGGUACCAAAAUGUACAAGAAAUGAUAGCCAUUUCAGCUUGGUAUCUAUGGUGGGAAAGGAGAAAAUUAGUUGUCACAUCCCUAGUUCUGGUAUGA